AAAGUUUAAAUCUCAAACUUGCAGCUACCUACUAUUAAGACUACACAUGCAAGUAUCCGCACUCCAGUGAGAAUGCCUUCACCCCAUUACAAAUGCAACAGAGCAGGUAUCAGGCUCAACAACGUUAGCCCACCACACCUUGCCCAGCCACAUCCCCACGGAUGCCACAGCAGUGACUAACAUUAGGCAAUGAGCACAUAAAAGCUUGACCUAGCUAAUAUUUUCCUUGGCCGGCAAAUCUCGUGCCAGCAGCCGCGGUUACACGGGAGGCCAAAGAUAGCAUACUAACGGCGUAAAGAGUGACCACAGAUUUUUCCACCUACCACGGAUUCAAAAAUUCUACCUCAGAGAUAAAAUCCUAAGGUACCAAGAACUCCUAACAUCCACAAACAGGCCAUCCUACUCACGAAAACCAGGACACAAACUAGGAUUAGAUACCCUACUAUGCCCGGCCGUAAACAAAAAUGGAAUAAAACAACCCAUUCGCCUGAGAACUACCAGCACGAGCUAAAAACUCAAAAGACUUGACGGUGCUCUACCCUACCUAGAGGAGCCUGUCCUAUAAUCGAUACCCCACGAUCCACCCGACCACUACUAGCACCCCAGCCUAUAUACCGCCGUCGAAAGAAUAUCCUGCCAAGGCAUAGCUAAUGUAGAGGCAGAGAUGGGCUACUUUUUCUGGCUACAGAACAAACGAAAAAUAGCAUGAAACCUGCUACUCAAAGGUGGAUUUAGCAGUAAGAUGAAAAAGCAUACUCACCUUAACCCAGCACCAGAGCACGUACACACCGCCCGUCACCCUCAUUAACAGCCCCGUACCCAAAUAUAUUUCUACCCAAACCCAUAAAUGAGGUAAGUCGUAACAUGGUAAGUGUACUGGAAAGUGCACUUGGAAAAC
rnacentral:ncRNA from 1 species